rnacentral:rRNA from 1 species
AUUGAACGCUGGCGGCAUGCCUUACACAUGCAAGUCGAACGGCAGCACGGGAGCAAUCCUGGUGGCGAGUGGCGAACGGGUGAGUAAUAUAUCGGAACGUGCCCAGUCGUGGGGAUAACGUAGCGAAAGCUACGCUAAUACCGCAUACGAUCUAUGGAUGAAAGCGGGGGAUCGCAAGACCUCGCGCGAUUGGAGCGGCCGAUAUCAGAUUAGGUAGUUGGUGAGGUAAAGGCACACCAAGCCGACGAUCUGUAGCUGGUCUGAGAGGACGACCAGCCACACUGGGACUGAGACACGGCCCAGACUCCUACGGGAGGCAGCAGUGGGGAAUUUUGGACAAUGGACGCAAGUCUGAUCCAGCAUUCGCGUGCA